AGCCAGAACUAUACCAGCAUAUGAUCAGGCAGUGUGGUAGAGUAUAAAGAUUCAACUUGGAUUUUAAUUCUGGCUUCACAGCUUGGUAGCUGUGUGACCGACUGCCCUUGGACAGAUAACAGCUUUGAACCUCUUUCUGAACUGUGAAGUGGGACAAUGGUAACGACUUUAUGAGACAUCUAGCCAGGUGCUACAAAACAGUGCCCUGCGUGUCUAGGCUAACCCAUGACAAGUUGAAUGUUCACUCCCCAUAGCCCCUUUCCUUUUCUGUCUGUCCUGCUUUGUUGAAAAGUAUAUGAAAGAAGACUUCCCCUAUAUCCAGCCAGACAGACCUUAUUAAUCACAAAAAUACUAAAAAUCCAGCUAUCCUAUUCCUUCUGUAAAUUUUCUUCCUGAGUGCAUGCCCCUCCAGCAUGGUGAGCCCUGUGCCCCUCUUGUCUGUCUGCCAUACCUAUCAGAAAAUGCACCCCUACCCCAGUUUCAGAGCUACGUGGGUGUGGCAGGCAGAUGCUGAUGGAGCUGACCUCGGCUAACACAGUAACCAUUGCAGCAGCACACAGGUGAAGCUGGGGCCAGGGUUUCCCAGGGGAAAGUCAGGGAACAUUAUUUCCAUACAGGUGAUGAGGGAGUUUUAUUACCUACCUUGAUACUCAGUUCCAAGGAGGAAACUAUCCAAAAAAGAUGCUUCUGGGUUAAGAAACUCACCCAGCAGCACAACUAUUCUCCUGCCUGUCCCUUCACUGCUGUCAAAACAGCAGGAACAAAUACCACCCACUCCAAUUCCUUAGGGAAAAGUCAGGUCUCCUUUUUAUGUCUCUUCAAUUUAACCGAGUUAGGCUUUCUCUGUAACUCGAUUUCAGACACACCUGUUUUCUGGUGCUGCUAGAACACACGGAUUGAGAGGAUGAGAUUUCUCAGGAGGCUGGGCACAUACUCC
rnacentral:lncRNA from 1 species